GACGAACGCUGGCGGCGUGCUUAACACAUGCAAGUCGAACGGAAAGGCCUUGCUUUUGUGGGGUGCUCGAGUGGCGAACGGGUGAGUAACACGUGAGUAACCUGCCCUCGACUUUGGGAUAACUUCAGGAAACUGGGGCUAAUACCGGAUAGGAGCUCCUGCUGCAUGGUGGGGGUUGGAAAGUUUCGGCGGUUGGGGAUGGACUCGCGGCUUAUCAGCUUGUUGGUGGGGUAGUGGCUUACCAAGGCUUUGACGGGUAGCCGGCCUGAGAGGGUGACCGGCCACAUUGGGACUGAGAUACGGCCCAGACUCCUACGGGAGGCAGCAGUGGGGAAUAUUGCACAAUGGGCGGAAGCCUGAUGCAGCAACGCCGCGUGCGGGAUGACGGCCUUCGGGUUGUAAACCGCUUUCGCCUGUGACGAAGCGUGAGUGACGGUAAUGGUAAAGAAGCACCGGCUAACUACGUG
rnacentral:rRNA from 1 species